CGCGUAGGCGGCUAGGUCAGUCAGAUGUGAAAGCCCCGGGCUUAACCUGGGAAUUGCAUUUGAUACUGCCUGGCUAGAGUAUGGUAGAGGGUAGUGGAAUUCCAGGUGUAGCGGUGAAAUGCGUAGAUAUCUGGAGGAACAUCAGUGGCGAAGGCGGCUACCUGGACCAAUACUGACGCUGAGGUGCGAAAGCGGUGGGGAGCAAACA
rnacentral:rRNA from 1 species